CAUAUACAAUAAGCGACAUGUUUGGUUCAUCAGAAAAACCAAAAUGGAGGGAAAACCGUACAUAGCAAAAGUAUUAAUGAAACAACUUUUGAUCGAGGUUGUGAAGUAAUGAAUCUUAUAAUUUCAUAAGUUGAGCUAACUGUUUCUGAAAACGGUUAUUCUACGUGGUGAUCAUCAUAAAGCUCUCGUAUGCAAAAAUAUAAUGAGUAGUUUAAACUAAUCGUUAAUACUUUCAAGCAAUUUGCUAGUCAAUGCCAUUCGUAUGACAGACAAAGUAUGCAAUAAAAUCAAAGGUCGCAACUUGUUUAGUGAUCUUAUUCAUAACGAGAAUGCUACAAUUCAUCUGAAUCUUCAAGAAAAUACACCUAUAAAGUUUUGUUAGUAAAACAACUCAUCAUAAAAUGUCUCCCAUGCAACAUACCACCGCUUUCAAUAUCCUUGCGAUCCAAUCGACACUGCAUGAUCCUGGUUUUACUACAUGGUUAGAAUAUAAUAACAGGUAUAUAACGAACAUGUUUCAAAAAUGAAGAUAAAGAUGCUCAUAGUAGCAAAGGAAACAUGGGCAAAGAGAGAUGUUUUCAACCCCCAUUGCUCGCCAAAACUGUCUUUUAGACCUUUUCGCACGAAAAAGCCAAUGAUGUUGAAUAUAAGCACUUGAAGGAAAGCAAGAGGCGUGUUUUUCCACUUCUUAAAAAUGUGCUUGAUUCCAUCUUUGCAUGCCUUGGUCCAAAAAUCAUAGUAGCCUAAUGAAUUAGUUAUUGAGUAUAGUACAAUUCCAUGUCUCACUUACGCA